UCUGCUCAGGAUUACAAUGGUGCUACCAAUCCCAUCUGAUUGUGGAAGCUAAACAGGGUGAGUCCUCGUUAGUACUCAGAAGGAAAGCCACCAGGGAAUACUAGGGAUCCCCAGAU
rnacentral:rRNA from 1 species